rnacentral:rRNA from 1 species
AGUGGCGAACGGGUGAGUAACACGUGGGUGAUCUACCUCGGAGUGGGGGAUAACGUUCCGAAAGGAGCGCUAAUUCCGCAUGACGUUCUGGGUUUGAAGACCUGGAGACCAAAGCUGGGGACCGCAAGGCCUGGCGCUUGGAGAGGAGCCCGCGCCUGAUUAGCUAGUUGGCGGGGUAAUGGCCCACCAAGGCGACGAUCAAUAGCCGGCCUGAGAGGGCGGACGGGCACACUGGGACUGAGACACGGGCCAGACUCCUACGGGAGGCAGACAGUGGGGAAUUGUUCGCAAUGGGCGCAAGCCUGACGAAGCAACGCCGCGUGGAGGAUGAAGGACUUCGGGUCGUAAACUCCUGUUGAUCGGGAAGAACGAGUCUUGGGGCUAAUCCACCCAGACAGAGUCUGGUACCCGAUUGAGGAACGCACGGGGUAACUCUUUGCCAGCAGCCAGGGUAAUACAGAGGUGCCAAGCGUUGUUCGGCAUUACUGGCCGUAGAGGGCGCGUAGUCGCCCUUGUCAGUCAGAUGUGAAACCCCACCGGUGACCUCGGGGAACUGCGUCUGAACCCCCAAGUCUGGCUUCCGGGAGAGAGAUGUGGAAUUCCAGGUGUACCGGUGCAAUGCGUAGAUAUCUGGAGGAACACCGGUGACGCAGCCGUCAUCCUGGACCGACCCUGACCCUGAG